UCUUUUGGGAGAAAUUGGGUAUAAGUGUUCUCUAAACACUCCUAAUCCAUCUCUAACUCUUAUAAUUAGGCAAAUGCAUUGGAUUAUGAAACAUUUUGACCAUAGAAACACUAACAAAGCUAUUUACUGUGUCUAAGCAAUUAUUUGUUGGUUUUAGCCUCUUUUGGGAUAAAAUGGGUAUAAUUGUUCUCUAAACACUCCUAAUCCAUCUCUAACUCUUAUAAUUAGUCAAAUGCAUUGGAUUGUGACACAUUUUGACCAUAGAAACACUAACAAAUCUAUUGACUGCUUCUAAGCAAGUUUUGUUGGUUUUAGAUACUUUUGGGAGAAAAUGGGUAUAAGUGUUGUCUAAACACUCCUAAUCUAUCUCUAACUCUUAUAAUUAGUCAAUUGCAUUGGAUUGUAACACAUUUUGACCCUAUAAAUACUAACAAAGCUAUUUACUGCUUCUAAGCAAUGUUUUGUUGGUUUUAGCUUCUUUUA
rnacentral:sRNA from 1 species